rnacentral:rRNA from 1 species
AUUGAACGCUGGCGGCAGGCCUAACACAUGCAAGUCGAGCGGAUGAAGGGAGCUUGCUCCUGGAUUCAGCGGCGGACGGGUGAGUAAUGCCUAGGAAUCUGCCUGGUAGUGGGGGAUAACGUCCGGAAACGGGCGCUAAUACCGCAUACGUCCUGAGGGAGAAAGUGGGGGAUCUUCGGACCUCACGCUAUCAGAUGAGCCUAGGUCGGAUUAGCUAGUUGGUGGGGUAAAGGCCUACCAAGGCGACGAUCCGUAACUGGUCUGAGAGGAUGAUCAGUCACACUGGAACGGAGACACGGUCCAGACUCCUACGAGAGGCAGCAGUGGGGAAUAUUGGACAAUGGGCGAAAGCCUGAUCCAGCCAUGCCGCGUGUGUGAAGAAGGUCUUCGGAUUGUAAAGCACUUUAAGUUGGGAGGAAGGGCAGUAAGUUAAUACCUUGCUGUUUUGACGUUACCAACAGAAUAAGCACCGGCUAACUUCGUG